rnacentral:rRNA from 1 species
AUUGAACGCUGGCGGCAGGCCUAACACAUGCAAGUCGAACGAGUGGCGGACGGGUGAGUAAUGUCUGGGAAACUGCCUGAUGGAGGGGGAUCACUACUGGAAACGGUAUCUAAUCCCGCAUACCAUCAGAUGUGCCCAGAUGGGAUUAGCUUGUUGGGGGGUUAACGGCGCACCAAGGCGACGACCCCUAGCUGGUCUGAGAGGAUGAACAGCCAACCUGGAACUGAGAAACGGUCCAGACUCCUACGGAAGGCAGCAGUGGGGAAGAUUGCACAAUGGGGGAAGGCCUGAUGCAGACAUGCCGCGUGUAUGAAGAAGGCCUUCGGGUUGUAAAGUACUUUCAGCGGGGAGGCGUUACCCGCAGAAGAAGCACCGGCUAACUCCGUGCCAGCAGCCGCGGUAAUAC